rnacentral:rRNA from 1 species
CUAGUAACGGCGAGUGAAGCGGCAACAGCUCAAAUUUGAAAUCUGGCUCUUUUAGAGUCCGAGUUGUAAUUUGCAGAGGGCGCUUUGGCGUUGGCAGCGGUCCAAGUUCUUUGGAACAGGACGUCACAGAGGGUGAGAAUCCCGUACGUGGUCGCUAGCCUUCGCCGUGUAAAGCCCCUUCGACGAGUCGAGUUGUUUGGGAAUGCAGCUCUAAAUGGGAGGUAAAUUUCUUCUAAAGCUAAAUACUGGCCAGAGACCGAUAGCGCACAAGUAGAGUGAUCGAAAGAUGAAAAGCACUUUGGAAAGAGAGUCAAAUAGCACGUGAAAUUGUUGAAAGGGAAGCGCUUGCAGCCAGACUUGCCUGUAGUUGCUUAUCCGGACUUUUGUCCGGUGCACUCUUCUGCGGGCAGGCCAGCAUCAGUUUGGGCGGUUGGAUAAAGGUCUCUGUCAUGUACCUCCUUUCGGGGAGGCCUUAUAGGGGAGACGACAUGCAACCAGCCUGGACUGAGGUCCGCGCAUCUGCUAGGAUGCUGGCGUAAUGGCUGUAAGCGGCCCGUCUUGAAACACGGACCAAGGAGUCUAACAUCUAUGCGAGUGUUUGGGUGUCAAGCCCAGACGCGUAAUGAAAGUGAACGGAGGUGGGAACCUUUUAGGUGCACCAUCGACCGAUCCUGAUGUCUUCGGAAGGAUUUGAGUAAGAGCAUGGCUGUUGGGACCCGAAAGAUGGUGAACUAUGCUUGAAUAGGGUGAAGCCAGAGGAAACUCUGGUGGAGGCUCGCAGCGGUUCUGACGUGCAAAUCGAUCGUCAAAUUUGGGCAUA